AUACUUACCUGGCAGGGGAGAUACCAUGAUCAUGAAGGUGGUUUUCCCUGGACAAGGCUCACCCAUUGCACUCAGGUGUACCAGCUCCUGUGAUUUCCCCAAUGUGGGAAAUUUGCAUAAUUUGUGAUAGUGGGGGACUGCAUUCGUGCGCUUCCCUG